rnacentral:rRNA from 1 species
GACGAACGCUGGCGGCGUGCUUAACACAUGCAAGUCGAGCGGUAAGGCCCUUCGGGGUACACGAGCGGCGAACGGGUGAGUAACACGUGGGUGACCUGCCCUCAGCUCUGGGAUAAGCCUGGGAAACCGGGUCUAAUACCGGAUAGGACCUGCUCCUGCAUGGGAGUGGGUGGAAAGUUUUUUCGGCUGGGGAUGGGCCCGCGGCCUAUCAGCGUGUUGGUGGGGUGAUGGCCUACCAAGGCGACGACGGGUAGCCGGCCUGAGAGGGCGACCGGCAACACUGGGACUGAGACACGGCCCAGACUCCUACGGGAGGCAGCAGUGGGGAAUAUUGCGCAAUGGGCGGAAGCCUGACGCAGCGACGCCGCGUGGGGGAUGACGGCCUUCGGGUUGUAAACCUCUUUCGCCAGGGACGAAGCGCAAGUGACGGUACCUGGAUAAGAAGCACCGGCCAACUACGUGCCAGCAGCCGCCGUAAUAC